rnacentral:rRNA from 1 species
UACGGGAGGCAGCAGUGGGGAAUAUUGCACAAUGGAGGAAACUCUGAUGCAGCGAUGCCGCGUGAGGGAAGAAGGCUUUCGGGUUGUAAACCUCUGUUCUCAGGGACGAUAAUGACUGUACCUGAGGAGAAAGCUCCGGCUAACUACGUGCCAGCAGCCGCGGUAAU